rnacentral:tRNA from 1 species
CGGCAGGUCGGUCCGCGGGUGGCCGCCCGCUUCGGGCGGGUGCUGCUGGAGCUGGGCGGCAACAAUGCGGCGAUCGUGACACCGUCGGCCGACC